UCUCAUGAUCAGCACCUUCUUCUGUUCAGGAUUUCCUUUUUACAGCUUCAAACCACUGGAAUGUAAUGCAUUAUGAGUUUCUUCCUCAGCCUUUUUUUUUUUUUUUUUUUGAGACAGAGUUUCACUCUUGUUUCCCAGGCUGGAGUGCAAUGGCACAAUCUUGGCUCACCGCAACUGCCGCCUCCCAGGUUCAAGCGAUUCUCCUGCCUCAGCCUCCCGAGUAGCUGGGAUUACAGAUUCUCCCUGACUCUGCUCAUCUGGACCUUUUCUGUGUGUCUGCCACCCCUGUGCUGCUGAGUGGAUUCCACUUCCAGUACUUUCUCAGUGACGGGUCCAGAAGGGAGUCCAGGGUGACCAGUUUCAGGUGGCCCAGGCUGCUCUCAUCUCUUCACAUCUUCUUACGAGAAAAAGGAGUUGGAAUACAGAAUGCCCAUCCUUUCCAGGAGAAAGACCACUGCAGGUCAGAAGAGCAGGUCUCAGGACAGCAGGGGCAGCUGCCUCUCUCUCUGAAGCAUGGCUCAGGUGUGGAGAAGGGUUUCAGAACACUUCUGGGAAUCCGUCAUUAACAGCUGAAGAGAAGACGAUUACAGAAAAGCACCUUGAAUUAUGCCCUAGACCCAAGCAAGAAACCACCACAUCUAAAAGCACCAGUGGGCUUACAGACAUAACAUGGAGCUCCAGUGGAAGUGAUUUGUCGGAUGAAGAUAAGACACUUUCUCAGUUACAGAGAGAUGAAUUACAGUUUAUCGACUGGGAGAUUGACAGUGACAGGGCAGAGGCUAGUGACUGUAAUGAAUUUGAAGAUGACGAGGGUGCUGUGGAAAUCUCAGACUGUGCUUCUUGUGCAAGUAAUCAGUCUUUGACAAGUGAUGAGAAGCUGUCGGAGCUUCCCAAGCCAAGUUCUAUAGAAAUUUUAGAGUAUUCAUCAGAUAGUGAAAAAGAAGAUGACUUGGAAAAUGUCCUACUCAUUGAUUCAGAAUCCCCUCACAAAUACCACGUGCAGUUUGCAUCGGAUGCAAGACAGAUUAUGGAGAGACUGAUAGAUCCAAGGACAAAAUCAACAGAGACCAUUUUGCAUACACCUCAGAAACCCACAGCUAAGUUUCCCAGGACUCCAGAAAAUUCAGCAAAGAAGAAGCUUUUAAGAGGUGGACUAGCAGAAAGACUAAAUGGACUGCAGAAUCGAGAGAGAUCUGCUAUUUCUUUGUGGAGACAUCAAUGUAUUUCUUACCAAAAGACACUUUCAGGUAGAAAAUCUGGUGUAUUAACUGUGAAAAUUUUAGAGCUGCAUGAGGAAUGUGCCAUGCAAGUUGCCAUGUGUGAGCAGUUAUUGGGGUCACCAGCCACCAGCUCCUCCCAAAGUGUGGCUCCCAGGCCUGGAGCUGGCCUGAAAGUUCUCUUCACCAAGGAGACUGCAGGCUACCUCAGGGGCCGUCCCCAGGACACUGUCCGGAUCUUCCCUCCCUGGCAAAAACUGAUUAUUCCAAAUGGAAGUUGCCCUGUUAUUCUGAAUACUUACUUUUGUGAGAAAGUUGUUGCCAAAGAAGAUUCAGAAAAAACUUGUGAAGUGUACUGUCCGGACAUACCCCUUCCAAGAAGAAGCAUCUCUUUGGCCCAGAUGUUUGUAAUUAAGGGUCUAACAAAUAAUUCACCUGAAAUCCAGGUUGUGUGUAGUGGUGUAGCCACUACAGGGACAGCCUGGACCCACGGGCACAAAGAAGCAAAACAGCGCAUCCCAACCGGCGCUCCCCUGAGGGAUUCUCUCCUGGAUGUGGUGGAAAGCCAGGGAGCUGCCUCGUGGCCAGGAGCUGGAGUCCGAGUGGUGGUGCAAAGAGUGUAUUCUCUUCCCAGCAGAGACAGCACCAGGGGUCAGCAGGGGGCCAGCUCAGGACACACAGACCCAGCUGGAACUCGAGCCUGCCUUCUGGUACAAGAUGCCUGUGGAAUGUUCGGUGAAGUGCACUUGGAGUUCACCAUGUCGAAGGCAAGACAGUUGGAAGGGAAGUCUUGCAGCCUGGUGGGAAUGAAGGUUCUACAGAAAGUCACCAGAGGAAGCGGGGAUUUUCAGUUUGAUUGACACCCUAUGGCCCCCAGCGAUACCUCUGAAAACACCUGGCCGCGACCAGCCCUGUGAAGAGAUAAAAACUCAUCUGCCUCCUCCAGCCUUGUGUUACAUCCUCACAGCUCAUCCAAAUCUGGGACAAAUUGAUAUAAUUGACGAAGACCCCAUUUAUAAGCUUUACCAGCCUCCAGUUACCCGCUGCUUAAGAGACAUUCUCCAGAUGAAUGAUCUUGGUACCCGUUGCAGCUUCUAUGCCACAGUGAUUUACCAAAAACCACAGCUGAAGAGUCUGCUUCUUCUGGAGCAAAGGGAGAUCUGGCUGCUAGUGACCGAUGUCACUCUGCAAACGAAGGAGGAGAGAGACCCCAGGCUCCCCAAAACCCUGCUGGUCUAUGUGGCCCCCUUGUGUGUGCUGGGCUCUGAAGUCCUGGAGGCACUCGCUGGGGCUGCCCCUCACAGCCUCUUCUUCAAGGACGCUCUCCGUGACCAGGGUCGGAUUGUUUGUGCUGAACGAACUGUCCUCUUGCUUCAGAAGCCCCUUUUGAGUGUGGUCUCUGGUGCAAGUUCCUGUGAGCUGCCUGGCCCGGUGAUGCUCGACAGCCUGGACUCUGCCACACCUGUCAACUCCAUCUGCAGUGUUCAAGGCACUGUGGUUGGCGUGGACGAGAGCACUGCUUUCUCAUGGCCUGUGUGUGACAUGUGUGGCAACGGGAGAUUGGAACAGAGGCUGGAAGACAGAGGCGCCUUUUCCUGUGGGGACUGCUCCCGGGUGGUCACAUCUCCUGUUCUCAAGAGGCACCUGCAGGUCUUCCUGGACUGCCGCUCAAGACCGCAGUGCAGAGUGAAGGUCAAGCUGUUGCAGCGCAGCAUUUCCUCCCUGCUGAGGUUUGCCGCCGGUGAAGAUGGGAGCUACGAAGUGAAGAGUGUCCUCGGAAAGGAAGUGGGGUUGUUAAAUUGUUUUGUCCAGUCCGUAACCGCCCACCCGACCAGCUGCAUUGGAUUGGAGGAAAUCGAGCUUCUGAGUGCAGGAGGGGCCUCUGCAGAACACUAGCGGUUGCCGCAGGAUCUGUGAACUUUGCAAUGUGGCUGCAAGGGUGGUGGUGGUGGUGGUGGUGAUUUGGGGUAGUUAUUUGUUAACUAUGGACACAGUGAACGUAGUUUACGAUCUUGAAAUGAAACUUAGAUUUUUCUGGGGAAAUGUUCAGAUACAGUUUUGUGAACUGUAAAUCAAAAUACCUUUUUCUACAGUUUAUCUUUUAUUUUCUGCAAAUUUAGGAACAUAUUUACUCUUGUUUUCACAUUGAAUCUUAAGUUUAAGCUCUUCAUUUGGUAUUUAGGCAAUAUAUGAGAAAAAAAUUUUUUGUUCAUUUGUAAUUUUAACAAGUUGAACAUUUUACCAUGAUUGAACAUGUUUUUAUUACAGUAUUUGUUUUAACAUUCCCCCAAAGAAUACCCUGCAAAGUGUAAACCUUUGUCCCAUACUGUGAUAUUACUGUUCUGCUACAAUAAAUGUCAAACCU
rnacentral:sRNA from 1 species